UUUAACGGCCGCGGUAUUUUAACCGUGCAAAGGUAGCGCAAUCACUCGUCCUUUAAAUGGGGACCUGUAUGAAUGGUUAGACGAGGGCUUAACUGUCUCCCUUUUCCAGUCAGUGAAAUUGAUCUAUCCGUGCAGAAGCGGGUAUGACCAUACAAGACGAGAAGACCCUUUGGAGCUUUAGGUACAAGCCUCACUCAUGUCAAACAUAUUAUAAAAAAUCCAAACCCACAUGAAAAAUGAGACCUUACCUUCGGUUGGGGCGACCACGGAGGAAAAAAUAGCCUCCGAGUGGAUUGGAUAACUUCCAAAACCAAGAAUAACAAUUCUAAGUAACAGAACAUCUGACUAAAUAUGACCCGGCCACUUAAGCCGAUCAACGAACCAAGUUACCCAAGGGAUAACAGCGCAAUCCUCUUCCAGAGUUCAUAUCGACGAGGGGGUUUACGACCUCGAUGUGGAUCAGG
rnacentral:rRNA from 1 species